GGGUCGUUAGCUCAGUUGGUAGAGCAGCGGACUCUUAAUCCGCGGGUCGCAGGUUCAAUCCCUGCACGGCCUACCA
rnacentral:tRNA from 2 species